GUCCAUCAGGCCUAGGUCCUAACUUCCUGUUUUUAGUGCUCAUCCGCCCAUCAGGCCUAGGUCCUAACUUCCUGUUUUUAGUGCCCAUCCGCCAAUCAGGCCUAGGUCCUAACUUCCUGUUUUUAGUGCCCAUCCGCCCAUCAGGCCUAGGUCCUAACUUCCUGUUUUUAGUGCCCAACCGUCCAUCAGGCCUAGGUCCUAACUUCCUGUUCUUACAGCCCAACCGUCCAUCAGGCCUAGGUCCUAGCUUCCUGUUUUAGUGCCCAACCGUCCAUCAGGCCUAGGUCCUAACUUCCUGUUUUUAGUGCCCAACCGUCCAUCAGGCCUAGGUCCUAACU